rnacentral:lncRNA from 1 species
CUUGGAUGCAAAUAUUUAACAAAAUAUAAAUGGCUAAUAUAGUGCCGAGACAACAAAAAUUAACAAUAAAAACAAUCCUGUUGAUUAUCAAUAACAUUCAUUAUCAUCCAAAUAAUACAGGAAAAAAUAAGUUUUUUAUUCAAAUUUCGACUUCAGAUGUACUUGUUAGAAAUAUAAACACUGAACUGUAUCUUUAGACUUG